rnacentral:rRNA from 1 species
GUCAUAUGCUUGUCUCAAAGAUUAAGCCAUGCAUGUCUCAGUACAAGCCAAAUUAAGGUGAAACCGCGAAAGGCUCAUUAAAUCAGUUAUGGUUCCUUAGAUCGUACCCACAUUUACUUGGAUAACUGUGGUAAUUCUAGAGCUAAUACAUGCCAACAGAACUCCGACCGGAGACGGAAGGAGUGCCUUUAUUAGAUCAAAACCAAUCGGUGGGGCGGCCUCGGUCGUGUCAUCGUACAACAUGGUGAAUCUGAAUAACGUUUGCUGAUCGCACGGUCUCGCACCGGCGACGCAUCUUUCAAAUGUCUGCCUUAUCAACUGUCGAUGGUAGGUUCUGCGCCUACCAUGGUUGUAACGGGUAACGGGGAAUCAGGGUUCGAUUCCGGAGAGGGAGCNUGAGAAACGGCUACCACAUCCAAGGAAGGCAGCAGGCGCGCAAAUUACCCA